UUUUUGCAAAUCUGGGUAACUUUUGUUGAAAGUGUAAAUCGUUUGACGUUUUCUUACGUCAAGCUCGGUUUCGGAUUUUGUUUGUUUGUUUUUGCCAACUUUUGUCGUAAAAAAACGGUUCGUACGGUUUUGUGACUGAUUCUGGCCGGAAGUGGAAUGUUUUCGGGAUUCUGCUAGUGCUGAAUUUUGGUUACCACCAUCGCUGUUUUUUGACGAGAACUUGCAGAGAUGGAGCAGCUGCAAUUUCAUUUCACGGAGCUGGAGAAACAGUCCACGCUGUUCAACUCGAUGCGGUUCAUGAUUGGGGACAUAACACUGCCGGAUACGCCAAUCGCAAGAAAAACAAAAUUUGCAAGCACGCGUGGCUGACCGAUCAUAAGCUGAGAAUGUCCGAAGGGAACACUUAGACGUCGAGACGCCUCAAGAACGGCGCUUGUGUUCGUUCUUUAACGACUUGGACUCGCGUCGAGCAGGUCGCUCGCAGGGUGAAUUCUGCUUGCCGUCACAGAUUAACCGGCUGUGGGGAAGGCAACUGGAAAUCUGCGGGCAACA